CUUUUGGGGGAGCACAGAGAGCCCUGCCCCCCUCAGCGGUGGAUGGAGGCAUCUAGCCCCUACCACAUCUGUCUAAGGCUAAAGCUCCAGGGCCCAGGGACAUCCCCUCCCCGCCCUAGAAACAGACCCAUGUACAGAUUAGCAGGGAAUUUCCUGAGUCAGCAGUGCCUUAUAUGGGAAUCAAAGUCCUGAAAUGUCAGGGCAGCAGAGGCAUGUUGCCUCUAUUCCAUCCUCUGAACAUUUGUCUGGGGAAACUGAGUUACAGAAGAGGUUGUGACGUGUUGGAGUCCUCUGUGCAGGAGCUCCAGAGCAGCGACUGGAAUGAGGAAGGGGAGGAACUGGGCCUACCUGGAGCGGGCUUUGUUCUCCAUCUGGUGCUGGGGCUGAUCUGUGUCCACUCUGGGUGGCCUAUCUGUGAGAUCCACCUGCCUCUGCCUUCCAAGUGCUGGGAUUAAAGGCGUGCACCAUUAUAAUGACCUUGGAGCCUCCAUCCUGUGGCUUCUAUUUCCUAAGUAUUGGAAUCACAGCAUGUGACACCACAGCCCUUGUGUGGCGGACAGAGGACGACUUUCAGGGGGCAGAGAGGAUGCUGGAAAGAAGUAGGAUGGAGUCAGAGGAGUUGCCAGCCAAACCCAGGGAGGAAGCAGGUGGCACAAGAUGAAAGAAAGCACAGAAUGUGAGACAACACAGCAGAAAUAGACAGGGCCUAGCAGGACCCACUUCCCAAGCCUAAGAAGUCAGUAUGGCCAGGUGCUUUCAGUUCAUAGCAACCAGACUUCAAGCA
rnacentral:lncRNA from 1 species